AACUUUUGACGGUGGAUCUCUUGGCUCACGCAUCGAUGAAGAACGCAGCCAGCUGCGAUAAGUAGUGUGAAUUGCAGAAUUCAGUGAAUCAUCGAAUCUUUGAACGCAAAUGGCGCUCUUGGGUUCUCCCAGGAGCAUGUCUGUCUGAGUGUCGGAUAAUCAUCCAUC
rnacentral:rRNA from 1 species